UGCAACUUUCUGGUGUACAACUUGAUGGAGAUUUUAAAUAUCUUUCAAGAAAUUUGAGAUGGCUACACUGGAAUGGAUUUCCGUUAGCAUGCAUACCUUCAAACUUCUAUCAAAGAAAUAUAGUUUCCAUUGAGUUAGAAAACAGCAGUGUCAA
rnacentral:pre_miRNA from 1 species